rnacentral:rRNA from 1 species
CAGUAGCCGCGGUAAUACGAGGGGGGCAAGCGUUGUUCGGAAUUAUUGGGCGUAAAGGGCGCGUAGGCGGUUUGACAAGUCUGAUGUGAAAUCUAUGGGCUCAACCCAUAGCCUGCAUUAGAAACUGUCGGGCUUGAGUAUGGGAGAGGUGAGUGGAAUUUCCGGUGUAGCGGUGAAAUGCGUAGAUAUCGGAAGGAACACCUGUGGCGAAAGCGGCUCACUGGACCAUAACUGACGCUGAGGCGCGAAAGCUAGGGGAGCAAACAGGAUUAGAUACCCCUGUAGUCCCUGUCUCUUAUAC